ensembl:lncRNA
UUCCGCUCUCCCGGCGCGGCCCAGGAGAAAACACCGCGUCCCGCCCCGCUGCUGCCGGGAGGAACAGUGAUGCGGUGGGCUCUGUUUGCACGACUUCGGUGAAAAACUGUCUGCGAUGAAAGUGCAGCCGUGGAGCGGAGCGGCGCGCAGAGCGCUCCGGGGGAAGCUCAGACUGCAGUCCGUGCGCUCUGUGCUGCUGCUGCAAAACCGCCGUGAGCGGCGGCACGAGGGGGGGCACUGACAGCACACCACGGUGACACCGCCCUGUGGGGCGGGGGGGGAUGGGGAUCCAGGGGUAUGGGGUUGGGUUUGGGGUCUGGGAGGUGAUGGGGAUCCAGGGGUAUGGGGUUGGGUUUGGGGUCUUGGAGGUGAUGGGGAUCCAGGGAUAUGGGGUUGGGUUUGGCACUGGGAGGUGAUGGGGAUCCAGGGGUAUGGGGUUGGGUUUGGGGUCUGGGAGGUGAUGCUGAGCUGCGGGUGCUGGGGGAGCAGUCAGCCUCGCAUGGCCGCGUGGUGGGAUCUGUGCCGGAGCCCUAUUUGUAGUACAGCACACAAUGGGUGAUGGGCCGUCGGUGAUGAGCGACGGGAGAUGAGGGGGGGAUGAUGGGUUGUGGGAUGUCAGUGGGGUCAGUGGUUGGUGGUGGGUGGUGGGUGAUGGGCAGUGGGCAGCGGUGGGUGAUGGGGAAUGGGCAAUAGGUGCCGGGCAAUGGGAGAUGGGUGUUGGGCAAUGGGCGAUGGGCGAUGGGUGAUGGCACCCAGCGGGGGUCGGGGGUCCCAGGGCUCCUCACAUCCAUCCCCACUGCUUCAAAGGGACAGGACUGUGCCUGUGGGUGCGCGCUGCUGCCCCACACGGGGCUCAUUAACGGCUCGAUGGGGGAGAAGCGUGUCCCCGUGGCGUGGCGCCGAGGUGGGCUCCGUCCCAC